ACGGGUGAGUAACGCGUAGGCAACCUGCCCCUGACAGAGGGAUAGCCAUUGGAAACGAUGAUUAAAACCUCAUGACACCGUAGUAGCACAUGUUACAUCGGUCAAAGAUUUAUCGGUCAGGGAUGGGCCUGCGUCUGAUUAACUGGUUGGUGAGGUAACGGCUCACCAAGGUGACGAUCAGUAGCCGACCUGAGAGGGUGAUCGGCCACAUUGGAACUGAGACACGGUCCAAACUUCUACGGAAGGCAGCAGUAGGGAAUCUUGCACAAUGGGCGAAAGCCUGAUGCAGCAACGCCGCGUGAAGGAUGAAGGCCUUCGGGUUGUAAACUUCUGUUCUAAGGGAAGAAAGAAAUGACGGUACCUUAGGAGCAAGCCCCGGCUAACUACGUGCCAGCAGCCGCGGUAAUACGUAGGGGGCAAGCGUUAUCCGGAAUUAUUGGGCGUAAAGAGUGCGUAGGUGGUUACCUAAGCGCAAGGUUUAAAUUAGAGGCUCAACCUCUACAUGCCUUGCGAACUGGGCUACUUGAGUGCAGGAGGGGAAAGCGGAAUUCCUAGUGUAGCGGUGAAAUGCGUAGAUAUUAGGAGGAACACCGGCGGCGAAGGCGGCUUUCUGGACUGUAACUGACACUGAGGCACGAAAGCGUGGGUAGCAAACAGGAUUAGAUACCCUGGUAGUCCACGCCGUAAACGAUGAGCACUAGGUGUUGGGUCCGUUAGGACUCAGUGCCGCAGUUAACGCAAUAAGUGCUCCGCCUGGGGAGUACGCUCGCAAGAGUAAAACUCAAAGGAAUUGACGGGGACCCGCACAAGCAGCGGAGCAUGUGGUUUAAUUCGAAGCAACGCGAAGAACCUUACCAGGGCUUGACAUCCUGCUGACAGAACCUUAAUCGGUUUUUUCUUCGGACAGCAGAGACAGGUGGUGCAUGGUUGUCGUCAGCUCGUGUCGUGAGAUGUUGGGUUAAGUCCCGCAACGAGCGCAACCCUUGUCGCUAGUUACUAACAUUCAGUUGAGGACUCUAGCGAGACUGCCGAGGUCAACUCGGAGGAAGGUGGGGAUGACGUCAAAUCAUCAUGCCCCUUAUGUUCUGGGCUACACACGUGCUACAAUGGUCGGUACAAUGAGAUGCAAUACUGCGAAGUGGAGCGAAACACCAAAACCGAUCCCAGUUCGGAUUGUAGGCUGCAACUCGCCUACAU
rnacentral:rRNA from 1 species